rnacentral:rRNA from 1 species
GUAGUCUGCAACUCGACUACAUGAAGCUGGAAUCGCUAGUAAUCGCGAAUCAGCAUGUCGCGGUGAAUACGUUCCCGGGUCUUGUACACACCGCCCGUCACACCAAGGGAGUCGGAAAUGCCCGAAGCCAGUGACCCAACCAUAAGGAGGGAGCUGUCGAAGGUGGAGCCGGUGACUGGGGUGAAGUCGUAACAAGGUACC